UGUGGCAUUUAAUUUAAAAAUCACAGAAGGCUUAGCUAAGGUUCCUCUUUGAUGAAAAUCACAGGCAGGCAUCCACCUUCCUUUUUCUGUUCCCUCUCUUGUUUCCCAUGCAUCACUUCCAACAUUUAAUUCUCUUUGCCAUCUCCACUACGAAACUCAACAACCCCGACAGCACUUCAACUAUUUUCUCCCUCUUCUUCUUCUCCUUCUUCCCCACUUUCCUCUGUUUCGAUUGCUAAUUUCAAAUGUUGCCGGAAAAACUACCGCCCGGUGGUUGCCGGCCGAAAACUGCUCAGCCAAAACCCACUUCAGAUCAUAAUCAGCAGCCACUCAAAUGCCCUCGUUGCGAUUCCCCCAACACUAAAUUCUGUUACUACAACAAUUAUAGCCUAACUCAACCUAGGUAUUUCUGCAAGACCUGCCGCAGAUACUGGACCAAAGGUGGAGCGUUGCGCAAUGUUCCCGUCGGCGGCGGCUGCCGAAAAAACAAGAAACUCAAAUUAUCGUCGUCUUCGUCAUCGUUGAGGCUUCCGUCGUCGUCCAAGGACGACUCCGGUUCGUCCAAUCCGGAAAUUAACCGGUUGGGUUUCUUCGUCAAUGGGUUUUCAUCGGGUCAAUUUGAUGGAAAUCGAAAUUCGUCUUUCUCCUCUGCUCCGACGACGGGUCUCUAUGAUCAGUUUGGAGUUUUUUCUCCCGAUCAAUCGAGAAACGUGAACUCCUUCAUUCCUUCCACUGGAUUUGUUAAUUCACUGAAUGUGGACACGAGUCUCGCGUCUUCGAUCGAAUCGUUGAGCUCUAUGAACCAAGACCUUCACUGGAAACUGCAGCAGCAAAGGCUAGCUAUGCUAUUUGGACCAGGACAGAACAAUCCCGCCAUUGAAAAAUACAGGGGAGUUUCCUCUCCAAUCGCACUUGAAGAUCACGGCCAAGAACUGAACCCAUGCUCGUUUCGGAAUCUGGGGAUCUCGAAACCGGAGGCUUGCAAUUCUUCAGAUUUCAGUAAUGCAAGAAAAGAAACCGUCGCCGUCACAGGAACCAGAGCAGGAGGAGAAUCUGCGGCGGCCGAUGAGUGGUUCUUUGGGGAUUCUUAUGCAGCCCCCUCAUUGACUACGGGUGCGGCGGCAGCGGGAUAUAACUCCGGCGACAGCGGCGCCAGGUGCGAUGGUGUUCAAGAGUGGCACGAUUUGCAUCCAUACACCCAUUUACCGUAGACAGGAAGGAAACUUGUUAAAGAUUUGGAGGAGAAGGUGGUUUUUUGUAUUCUUUUGAUUUCAAGUUUGCUUAAUAAAGAACUAAGGUACUAAAAUUUUGAGCUGUGAUCAUGAGAGGAAGGUGAUUUUGAACAACAAUAAGAGUUAGUGGUCGUGAAAAUUUCCUUCACGAUGCAAAAAUGUGGUCUUGCACAAAUCCACUAAGGUGAUGAAGCUCUCAAGCAAGUGGACGUUUGGUUAGUGACAAAAAUUGUUGUAAUGUAGUUGCUCGUGGAAAUACCUUGUUGUAUUUAAUUUCUUUGUAGAAAUUUUACUAAGUUUAGUUACUAGUUUGCUUAUAUUUGCCCCUUUGGGGACAUUCAAUAGUUUCCUUGUGUUUAGUUUCUUUGUAAUGACGUCAUCAACUUCAUUCUUAUAUAUAAAAGUUCUUAUUGAU